rnacentral:ribozyme from 12 species
UUUCUUUUUUUCUUUUUUUUCUUCUUUUUUUUUUUCUUUUUCUUAGUU